GUAGAAUGUAGAUAUUAGUAUAGCGUGGUGCAUUUGAUAUUGUCCGAGGAGGGGAGUAAGUUAAUAAAGUGCAUCAGAUUGCUCUUAUGAUGAAUAUUUAUGUGUAAGUAAGUUUGUAUAAAUAUAUGCAUGUACAUUAAUAUUAUAUGUAUUUACAUGUGUGUAUUUAUGUGUUGUGUUCUAUAUAUAUGUACAUGUAUGGCAUUGUAGGGGCUGUGACCUGGUGUUCAUUUCAUUUCAUUUCUUUAACGGUUGCAUACGGUAUCUUUUCAAAUAGUUCUGGUGAACCUAAAAAGGGCAUUCUAUAGUGGUCAUGUCAAAGUUGCACACUUUUCUCUCUUGACAUCUUAUGGCUGGUAGUGCGUGUGAUUCUCUGGAUUGCUUUACUUGGACUGCAGGGUACUGAAUUUGUAGUGAAGUUGUUUCUUUGGUGUAGCUACACUUAGGUCUGUAUUUUUCCUUUCUUGCUGCUUGUUUUUUCAUCAGCGUAGCCCUCGGCAACUCAUUUUUUACUGCUUUCCAGUUUUUGUAAUUAGAGUUACUUCCCUUAGACUUACAAACCAGGCAUGUAGAAUUUCAACAUCAUAAAAUCUUUAUUGUAGAGAACCUAGACUUCUGAUUUUUUCCAGGAAUUAUUGGAAUGACUUAAAAAUGCAUGUAUAAGAUUAGGCCUUUUUGUAUUUACAUGUAAUUACAUGUAAUAUUGUGUAACAUGUACCCCACCCUUUGGGGGUACAUUUUUAAAACAAUAAACAAUGUAGAAGGUGUGUAAUUUUUUUAUUUUCUAGAAAACCUGAAAAAUAUUGCUGUUAAAUAAAUGCUUAAGAUGUGAUUUGACUAAUUUUUCUGAUUUAUUUUGUUUUUAGCACUGUAGAGGACUUUCAUCUUUCAGCUUCCUCGGCCCCGGGAGAGUUGGGUACCUGCUCAGCGGGGGCAUUUUCUCUAUACAAGAAGAAGACGGAGACUCGCUACCCACCCGAUAUAUUUUGUCGGACAGUUUUCUGUACAUAGCAGUCACAACUGUAUCCAGGUCACAUCAAAGGAAUGACAGUUUCUCACUCCCUGGAAUUCUACUUAAUGGAGGGAGGUGUCAUUAAUUAAGAUUGUCACAGCUUCCAAGACACUGAAGUGACAGGCCUAAAAUUUUAUACAUAUUCAUUGGUAAGUAUAAAGUCUUUGAAAAUUACAAAAUUGACUAAUUCUGGGAGAGGUAAAUAUGUAAGUAUAGGAAUGAGAGUACCAAAUCCCCGGAUGAGCACAUGGCGUUGUUUGUGGCACAAUGUAGAGUCGAGUACUGAAUAGGUCGGCAUUACCUGAUUGGCUGAAAUGAGCACUGUAGAGGACUUUCAUCUUUCAGCUUCCUCGGCCCCGGGAGAGUUGGGUACCUGCUCAGCGGGGGCAUUUUCUCUAUACAAGAAGAAGACGGAGACUCGCUACCCACCCGAUAUAUUUUGUCGGACAGUUUUCUGUACAUAGCAGUCACAACUGUAUCCAGGUCACAUCAAAGGAAUGACAGUUUCUCACUCCCUGGAAUUCUACUUAAUGGAGGGAGGUGUCAUUAAUUAAGAUUGUCACAGCUUCCAAGACACUGAAGUGACAGGCCUAAAAUUUUAUACAUAUUCAUUGCACUGUAGAGGACUUUCAUCUUUCAGCUUCCUCGGCCCCGGGAGAGUUGGGUACCUGCUCAGCGGGGGCAUUUUCUCUAUACAAGAAGAAGACGGAGACUCGCUACCCACCCGAUAUAUUUUGUCGGACAGUUUUCUGUACAUAGCAGUCACAACUGUAUCCAGGUCACAUCAAAGGAAUGACAGUUUCUCACUCCCUGGAAUUCUACUUAAUGGAGGGAGGUGUCAUUAAUUAAGAUUGUCACAGCUUCCAAGACACUGAAGUGACAGGCCUAAAAUUUUAUA